rnacentral:rRNA from 1 species
GAUGAACGCUGGCGGCGUGCUUAACACAUGCAAGUCGAACGAUGAAGCCCAGCUUGCUGGGUGUGCUAGUGGCGAACGGGUGAGUAACACGUGAGUAACCUGCCCUUGACACUGUGAUAAGCGCUGGGGACGGCGUCUCAUACCGGAUACGAGCUUCCACCGCAUGGUGAGUUGCUGGAAAGAAUUUCGGUGAGGGAUGUACUCGCGGCCUAUCUGGUGUUUGGUGGGGUAAGGGCUCACAAAGCCGACGCGGGGUAUCGGGCCUCGGAGGGGGCCGGGCCACACGGGAACGGGGACACGGCCCAGACUCCUACGGGAGGAAGAAGUGGGGAAUAUGGAACAAUGGGCGCAAGCCUGAGGCAGAACCGCGGCGGGAGGAACGAAGGCCUUCGGGUGGUAAACCUCUUUGAGCGGGGAAGAAGCGAAAGUGACGGUACCUGCAGAAAAAGCACCGGCUAACUACGU